rnacentral:rRNA from 1 species
UGCGCAGGCGGUUUUGUAAGUCUGUCGUGAAAUCCCCGGGCUCAACCUGGGAAUUGCGAUGGAGACUGCAAGGCUAGAAUCUGGCAGAGGGGGGUAGGAAUUCCACGUGUAGCAGUGAAAUGCGUAGAGAUGUGGAGGAACACCGAUGGCGAAGGCAGCCCCCUGGGUCAAGAUUGACGCUCAUGCACGAAAGCGUGGGGAGCAAACA